CUUUGAAUCUUACAAAGCUCACUUUGUAUUCGACAGGAUGAAGUUCACUUUCACCCUUCUCAUGUUGUUCAUCUUCGUCCUCAUGGUUGAUCUCGGAGAGGGUCGUCGUCGUAAGAAAAAGAAGGGAAAGGGAAAGUGGUUGGGAAGGAUUGGUAAAGGUCUCGGGAUACUUGGCAGGGUGGGCCUUGAUCAACUCGUUGGGGGGCAGGAUUACGACGAGCAGCAGGAGCUCAACAAGCGCUCAGACGAUGACAGCCCCAA